rnacentral:sRNA from 1 species
UGAUAAAUAUUAAUUUAUCGAUAAAUUAAUACCUCUCUAAAUUAAUAAAAUUUUGUAGUCCCAACAUUAUUAAUUUAUAGAGGUUUUACUGUAGCUUGAAUUUUAACUUUCUA